rnacentral:rRNA from 1 species
AACGUAGGACACAAGCGUUAUCCGGAAUUACUGGGCGUAAAGCGCCCGCAGGCGGUUAGGUAAGUGAUCGUUGAAAGCGCCCGGCUAAACUGGGCGAGGUGCGGUCAUACUGCCCGACUAGAGGGUGAUAGAGGCGUGUGGAAUUCCGCGUGUAGUGGUGAAAUGCGUAGAGAUGCGGAGGAACACCAGAGGCGAAGGCGGCACGCUGGGUCACACCUGACGCUGAGGGGCGACAGCACGGGGAGCGAACGGG